rnacentral:rRNA from 1 species
UAGGGAAUCUUCCACAAUGGGCGAAGCCUGAUGGAGCAACGCCGCGUGAGUGAAGAAGGGUUUCGGCUCGUAAAGCUCUGUUGUUAAAGAAGAACACGUAUGAGAGUAACUGUUCAUACGUUGACGGUAUUUAACCAGAAAGUCACGGCUAACUACGUGCCAC